rnacentral:rRNA from 1 species
ACCUGCUAGCCGCAGUAUUUUGACUGUGCAAAGGUAGCAUAAUCAUUUGUCUUUUAAUUGAAGGCUGGAAUGAAUGGUAAAACGAGAAAUUUCCUGUUUUUGAAUUUGACGUAUAAAUGCAAAGGUUUAUAUAUUCUUAGUGGACGAUCAGACCCUAUGGAGCUUUUUGAUUGGGGCGAUCAAGUAUGAUCCUUUUGGUGGAUUAAAAGACUAAGUUACCCUAGGGAUAACAGCGUUAUUUUUCUAAAGAGACCUUAUCGAUAGAGAAGUUUGCGACCUCGAUGUUGGAUUAAAGAAGCAGUAAGAGGUAGAUUUUUUACUAGAGAGUCUGUUCGACUUUUAAAUCUUU